UACACAGUCUGGGAAACCACAAUAAAAGGCCUGGUUCAUGCUGGAGCCACAUGGUGACAUCUGGGCUUGAAAGAUGUACUCAAGGCUACUGCUUUUGUGCUCAGCAUGAGUUCUACUGAGUCUCAGACAUUCCCACAGUCCUCCAUAAUGAGAUGUGGGUGUGUUGGUUUGGGCUAUGCACUAGCAGAGGGCUAACAUUAGUUAAAAUGCCACGGCCCAUGGACCCUUUGAGACUAGAGGAUGACACAUCAGCAGGUGAGAAAAGACAUUUUGCCUGUCCAGGCAUCAGGCUAGACCAGCCAAUCCUUAUCAGAUGUUGGAUGUAUCUAGAGUCACCAUGUAAAUCUGAUCUUCUCUCUUCCUGCUGCCCUGAAGAUACAGACUUCCUCAUACACAGACACCAUCUCAGGGAGGAGCAGGAGGGAAAGGGAAGAAGCCCCCCAAACUGAGCAUUUAUCUGAGAGAAGCUUAGUUACUAUAAAGUGACGCCUUCAACUGAAGAUGGCACUCAUUCUGAAUCUUGGCAAGGUCUCUUUUAUGUCACUGAGGAUGGGAUGAAUGAUGGAAUAACCAGUACCAUCUAAGUGGAUAAUUAACAUUCAAGGUGCUAAGACCAUGUCCACAUGAUAAAAAGUGUUUUGGAAAGGAAUUAAAUGAGUGCAUAGCUAA